GGGUCAGUAGGUUGGUCGUGCCACCGGUACGUACUGGUCUCACUGAUUCCUCCUUCCUGAAUAACCGUAAUGCCAUUAAUUCGGUGUUGCGGGGAAACAGGACUGUUACUUUGAAAAAAUUAGAGUGUUUAAAGCAAGCUAACGCUUGAAUACAUUAGCAUGGAAUAAUGAAAUAGGACGAUCGAUCCUAUUUUGUUGGUUUCUAGGAUUGACGUA
rnacentral:rRNA from 1 species